rnacentral:rRNA from 1 species
CCGUAGCGUUACUGACGCUGAAGCUCGAAGGUGCGGGUAUCGAACAGGAUUAGAUACCCUGGUAGUCCGCACGGUAAACGAUGGAUGCCCGCUGUCGGCCAAUUAGGUCGGUGGCCAAGCGAAAGCGUUAAGCAUCCCACCUGGGGAGUACGCCGGCAACGGUGAAACUCAAAGGAAUUGACGGGGGCCCGCACAAGCGGAGGAACAUGUGGUUUAAUUCGAUGAUACGCGAGGAACCUUACCCGGGCUUGAACUGCAGAGGAACGGCUGAGAGAUCGGCCGGCCCUUCGGGGUCUCUGUGGAGGUGCUGCAUGGUUGUCGUCAGCUCGUGUCGUGAGAUGUUGGGUUAAGUCCCGCAACGAGCGCAACCCCUAUUGUUAGUUGCUACGCAAGAGCACUCUAGCGAGACUGCCGUUGACAAAACGGAGGAAGGUGGGGACGACGUCAAAUCAUCAUGCCCCUUAUGUCCAGGGCUACACACGUGCUACAAUGGUUGAUACAGAGUGAAGCGAGGCCGCGAGGUGGAGCAAAACGCAGAAAAUCAAUCGUAGUUCGGAUCGGAGUCUGAAACCCGACUCCGUGAAGUUGGAAUCGCUAGUAA